rnacentral:rRNA from 1 species
GACGAACGCUGGCGGCGUGCUUAACACAUGCAAGUCGAACGGUGAAGCUCCAGCUUGCUGGAGUGGAUCAGUGGCGAACGGGUGAGUAACACGUGAGCAACCUGCCCCUGACUCUGGAAUAAGCGCUGGAAACGGCGUCUAAUACUGGAUACGAGAAGGGUCCGCAUGGGCACUUUCUGGAAAGUUUUUCGGUUGGGGAUGGGCUCGCGGCCUAUCAGCUUGUUGGUGAGGUAAUGGCUCACCAAGGCGACGACGGGUAGCCGGCCUGAGAGGGCGACCGGCCACACUGGGACUGAGACACGGCCCAGACUCCUACGGGAGGCAGCAGUGGGGAAUAUUGCACAAUGGGCGAAAGCCUGAUGCAGCGACGCCGCGUGAGGGAUGACGGCCUUCGGGUUGUAAACCUCUUUCAGCAGGAAAGAAGCGAAAGUGACGGUACCUGCAGAAGAAGCACCGGCUAACUACGUG